rnacentral:piRNA from 1 species
CUUUCCUAGCUUUUGGUGGC